rnacentral:rRNA from 1 species
UGCUUAACACAUGCAAGUCGAACGGAAAGGCCCUGCUUUUGUGGGGUGCUCGAGUGGCGAACGGGUGAGUAACACGUGAGUAACCUGCCCUUGACUUUGGGAUAACUUCAGGAAACUGGGGCUAAUACCGGAUAGGAGCUCCUGCUGCAUGGUGGGGGUUGGAAAGUUUCGGCGGUUGGGGAUGGACUCGCGGCUUAUCAGCUUGUUGGUGGGGUAGUGGCUUACCAAGGCUUUGACGGGUAGCCGGCCUGAGAGGGUGACCGGCCACAUUGGGACUGAGAUACGGCCCAGACUCCUACGGGAGGCAGCAGUGGGGAAUAUUGCACAAUGGGCGGAAGCCUGAUGCAGCAACGCCGCGUGCGGGAUGACGGCCUUCGGGUUGUAAACCGCUUUCGCCUGUGACGAAGCGUGAGUGACGGUAAUGGGUAAAGAAGCACCGGCUAACUACGUGCCAGCAGCCGCGGUGAUACGUAGGGUGCGAGCGUUGUCCGGAUUUAUUGGGCGUAAAGGGCUCGUAGGUGGUUGAUCGCGUCGGAAGUGUAAUCUUGGGGCUUAACCCUGAGCGUGCUUUCGAUACGGGUUGACUUGAGGAAGGUAGGGGAGAAUGGAAUUCCUGGUGGAGCGGUGGAAUGCGCAGAUAUCAGGAGGAACACCAGUGGCGAAGGCGGUUCUCUGGGCCUUUCCUGACGCUGAGGAGCGAAAGCGUGGGGAGCGAACAGGCUUAGAUACCCUGGUAGUCCACGCUGUAAACGGUGGGUACUAGGUGUGGGGUCCAUUCCACGGGUUCCGUGCCGUAGCUAACGCUUUAAGUACCCCGCCUGGGGAGUACGGCCGCAAGGCUAAAACUCAAAGGAAUUGACGGGGCCCCGCACAAGCGGCGGAGCAUGCGGAUUAAUUCGAUGCAACGCGUAGAACCUUACCUGGGUUUGACAUGGAUCGGGAGUGCUCAGAGAUGGGUGUGCCUCUUUUGGGGUCGGUUCACAGGUGGUGCAUGGCUGUCGUCAACUCGUGUCGUGAGAUGUUGGGUUAAGUCCCGCAACGAGCGCAACCCUUGUUCACUGUUGCCAGCACGUUAUGGUGGGGACUCAGUGGAGACCGCCGGGGUCAACUCGGAGGAAGGUGGGGAUGACGUCAAGUCAUCAUGCCCCUUAUGUCCAGGGCUUCACGCAUGCUACAAUGGCUGGUACAGAGAGUGGCGAGCCUGUGAGGGUGAGCGAAUCUCGGAAAGCCGGUCUCAGUUCGGAUUGGGGUCUGCAACUCGACCUCAUGAAGUCGGAGUCGCUAGUAAUCGCAGAUCAGCAACGCUGCGGUGAAUACGUUCCCGGGGCUUGUACACACCGCCCGUCAAGUCAUGAAAGUUGGUAACACCCGAAGCCGGUGGCCUAACCGUUGAGGGGGAGCCGUCGAAGGUGGGACUGGUGAUUAGG